rnacentral:rRNA from 1 species
UACGGGGGGGGGCAAGCGUUGUUCGGAAUUACUGGGCGUAAAGGGCUCGUAGGCGGCCAACUAAGUCAGACGUGAAAAUCCCCUCGGCUUAACCGGGGAACUGCGUCUGAUACUGGAUGGCUUGAGAUUGGGAGAGGGAUGCGGAAUUCCAGGUGUAGCGGUGAAAUGCGUAGAUAUCUGGAGGAACACCGGUGGCGAAGGCGGCAUCCUGGACCAACACUGACGCUGAGGAGCGAAAGCUAGGGGAGCAAACGGG